AGACAAUAUUGGUCCUUUGUGUCUGGCUGACUUCACUCAGCAUAAUGCUUUCCAGACUGUCUCUGAGAAGACGAGAUCAGGACACAGACGCCAACAAAAAAGACCAUGUGAAGACGCGGGAGGAAGACGGCCACCUGCAAGCCGCGAGAGAGGACUCAGAAGAAACCAACCCUUUUAACACCCUGAUCUGGGCCUCCCAGUGCCCAGAACUGUGAGAGAACAAAUUUCUCUUGUUUAAGCCCCACAGUCUGUGGUCCUUAGUGAUGGAGCCCGAGCUGCUCUAGGCCUUCUAAUUCUAGAACAUCGAAUUCUUCCCAGUUAGGAACAAAUACAGUAGCAAACAUUCCUGUGCAUGUUGACAGUGGAAGUCUAAGGAGCUUGUGGACAGCCUGAAACUAUGUUCUGUCCUGAAUUUGGGCAGGUUUUCUGUUUCACCCCCAGAAGCUCCAAGAUUUGUCUGUGUUGGGGGUGUUCACGGGUGUUAAGAGCUGGGACUUUUGUUUUCACCCCUGACCUCUCCCUGAGCUUCCCUCCCACCCACGGGUCACUGUCUCCAUCGGCUCGGCGGGGGUCACAACCCGAUAGUGGGCUGCAUCUGAGCUGGCCGCGGCCCACAGCCUGUCUUUCCUCUCACGGUCCUCUGCGGUCGCUGCUCCAGUGGGAGGGAAGUCAGGGGCAGCGAAAGGCCACGUCCUCCCAGCUCCAUUUGUGACUGGACGAGCGGACCGCACCGUGUGAGUCAGCCUGUUGUGGAAGCGUCUGAGAGUCAUUGCUCUGACUGUGCUGACGAAGCACAGAGAAGAAGGAAGGCCUGACCCCUGCCAGCCCGGAUGUUCCCUGAGGGCCUCUUGCUCUUCUCCACACUGUGGCCAGAGGCCUCUGUCACAGGCAUUAAUCUGGGCUUGUCUGUGUCCUGCCUAACAGCUUCAGGAGGAAGUCACCCUGUGCCCCAGCGCCGAGGCCUGCCCUCUGGAACUUGUCUCUUUGAGGUCCUCACCACGCCUCCAGCCCUGGGCUGGGCCAGGACACCCGGCUCUGUAUUCUCACAGCUCUUGCUCCCCUGACCUUAACACUCAUCCCAGCUGGAGGUUGGAGGUCGUGACUCCUCCUUUGCUGUCUUUCCCAGUGGAGUGUAGGCCCCUCCACAGCGGGGGCCAAGCUGUAGGCUGUGCAGAGCCCACGGCGGGCCCACCGGCAUUUGAUGAUGACAGGAAGCGCUCCUCACAUUCCACUGUAACUGCACGUCUUUCUUUGAGGGCAGACCUGCAGUUGGUUCAUUUCUAUAUCCUCAGCUUUUACUCUGAUCAAAGACCUGGCUCCACAUUCCAAAGGUGUGUGGGCUCUGAUUUCAGUGACCAGGUAGGCCUUUCCGUGACCUGGCCGGGAACGGGCUCCAAGGUCCAUCGCCCACGCUCCACAUGCGGUGUGGGGAGCACAGCAAGGUCUCCUACCCUGAGGGAAGGAAAGGGUUACAGCACUCACCUCUCAGGGCCCUCCCACUCCACCCCCUGCGACAGGUGAGACAGAUGAGGGUAGUGGGUGUGGUCCCAGCAGCCCUGGGGCCCCAAGGAGCCGGGCCUCUCCUUCCAGGUUUAGAUCUGGAACAGGGCCAUGGUUUUGUCCACAGUUCCAACAGGUGUAAUGGCAAUGUCAGGGGGUCACAGUGAGUGUCCUGGCUCCCCCGGCUGUGUUGAGACACAGAGCCAUGAGGCCCCCUUCUUCACAGGUCUCAUGGGUGUCGUGGUUCCUCCCUGAGGCAGCCAGGGGCUGGGCUGCUUGAACAUCAAUCCUUUCAAAUCAUAUCAUUAAAAUCUACUCCCACACCUGUA